GAUGAACGCUGGCGGCGUGCCUAAUACAUGCAAGUCGAGCGAACAGACGAGGAGCUUGCUCCUCUGACGUUAGCGGCGGACGGGUGAGUAACACGUGGAUAACCUACCUAUAAGACUGGGAUAACUUCGGGAAACCGGAGCUAAUACCGGAUAAUAUAUUGAACCGCAUGGUUCAAUAGUGAAAGACGGUUUUGCUGUCACUUAUAGAUGGAUCCGCGCCGCAUUAGCUAGUUGGUAAGGUAACGGCUUACCAAGGCAACGAUGCGUAGCCGACCUGAGAGGGUGAUCGGCCACACUGGAACUGAGACACGGUCCAGACUCCUACGGGAGGCAGCAGUAGGGAAUCUUCCGCAAUGGGCGAAAGCUUGACGGAGCAACGCCGCGUGAGUGAUGAAGGUCUUCGGAUCGUGAAACUCUGUUAUUAGGGAAGAACAAAUGUGUAAGUAACUAUGCACGUCUUGACGGUACCUAAUCAGAAAGCCACGGCUAACUACGUG
rnacentral:rRNA from 1 species